rnacentral:rRNA from 1 species
AUCAAAAACAUGUCUUUUUGAAAAAAAUUUAAAGUCUGGUCUGCUCAAUGAAAAUUUAAAUGGCUGCAGAAAAUUAACUGUACAAAGGUAGCAUAAUCAAUAGUUAUUUAAUUGAUAACUGGAAUGAAAGAUUAGAUGAAAUAUUUACUUUUUUAUUUUUAAAAAUUUAAUUUUUUUAUUAAGUAAAAAUACUUAAAUAAUUUUAAGGGACGAGAAGACCCUAUAAAACUUUAUAAUAAUUUAAUAAAAAAGAUAAAUAUUUUUUAAUUAUUAAAGAAUUAUUUUAUUGGGGAAAUAAUAAAAUUUAAUAAAUUUUUAUAUAAAUAAAACAAAGAUUUUUGAAUUUUAAAAUGUUUAUAAAAGAAAAAGAAUAAGUUACUUUAGGGAUAACAGCGAAAUAAUUUUUAAAGUACAUAUUAAAAAAAUUGUUUUCGACCUCGAUGUU